UACGGGGGGGGUAAGCGUUGUUCGGAAUUACUGGGCGUAAAGGGCUCGUAGGCGGCCAACUAAGUCAGACGUGAAAUCCCUCGGCUUAACCGGGGAACUGCGUCUGAUACUGGAUGGCUUGAGUUUGGGAGAGGGACGCGGAAUUCCAGGUGUAGCGGUGAAAUGCGUAGAUAUCUGGAGGAACACCGGUGGCGAAGGCGGCUCACUGGCCCGGUACUGACGCUGAGGUGCGAAAGCGUGGGGAGCAAACAGG
rnacentral:rRNA from 1 species